GAAACCCAUGUUCCUACACUACCUGAAUUAUUAUUCUGCCUUAGGAGCAGUAGGGAAAAGGGACCACAGGAAAGCCCCAGGAUGGGGAUAGUUGGGGAUUCCUUGAGAACCAAGAGCAGGACCUCACUGUUAACUGCAAAAACAACAAUAGUGAUAUGGAGGGUAAGGAGAUCCAUCUAAAACUAGGAAAUAAAGGGUGUUGCCUGAUGGUGCAGUAGGUUAAGGAUCUGGUGUUGUCACUGCUGUGGCUUGAGUUCAAUGCCCAGAAACUUAACACAUGUGGUGGGUGUAGCCAAAAAAGAUUAAAAAAAAAAACAAAAACAAAACAUGUAAGAAAUAAAGCAGAAAGGGGAUCAUGUAGGGGAGCAGAAUUGCCAAGCCAAAAUAUGUCUCUUUGACAUAUGAAUUAUUUUAAACUGGUUAUUUUCUAAGAAGCAGCAGCUCAGGGAAAACCCAUGAUAACCAAGCAGGUGUUCCCCUUUGGUAAGAAACCUUGUGCAUUUGUAAGGGAAUCUCCAUUCGUAAGGGUGUCACCUUCCUGGAGAGGGGGAUACCUAAUCUCUAGAAAACUCUCAUUGAUGGAGAAAGGGAGGUUUUAAUUAUUAUUAGACCUUACCUUUGUUUACUGUGCUUUUCUCACCCCACCCUCAUCCUCUUUUGUCCUUAGCUGAAGAUGGAAUUUAAGAUGCGGGCUUUGGCCAUUUUGGGGGGAGAUAUUCAGCUUUCCUGAGUCUCUCCCAGGUAUACAUGUUAUUAAGCUUUUGUUUGAUUUUCUCCUGGUAAUCUGUCUCAUGUCCAUGUAAUGCUUAGACCAGCCACGGGAACCUUGUGGCUGUCAGAGAGGAAGAAAUUCCUUCUACCAUUCUGGGUUCUUCUGGCCAGUGUAUGAAUUAAAUAACACAAGACAGAGAAAAUCAAAGUUUAAAAACAUGUAUUCAUGGGAGAGACCCAGGAAAACUGAGUCAUGGGUCCUCAAAUAGCUGAAACCCUCACUUUAAAUACUAACCUCAGCUAAAGACCAAAGAGGAUGUUGGGAGGCGUAGUUUGGGACUUCAAAGGGAGGGAGGCAGUUGACAUGGAAACGGAAAGGCAAAUGCUGUUAAACAGAUGUUUGCUGGGCCGUUCAUAGACAGUGGGGCUGUGGACCUCAAAAAAUGCACAACCUGAAAGCUGAGAGUUAAGAUUUAUUUGGUGCAAAAUUAGAGCUUAAGCCCAGGAGAUGGCAUCCCAGGGAGCCCUGAGAAACCACGUCAAGGAGCCGAGGAUGGAGCUAGGAUACAUAGGCAUUUUUUACCACAAAGGGCAGGGAGCAGGAACAAAAGAGGCUGGACUCACGGAAAUCAUUCCUUUGAUAGUACCUCCCCUAUUAGGGCCAGUAUCCUGAGUUUUCACAGCCUGCUGGACUCACCGGCUCUCACCCCAGGAGGUGACUGCAGAUGACCUGGACAUUCUUUGUUGAAUCCUUAUCUACAGCCAGGGUGGCGGUAUUUCAGAUAGCUCUGCAAUGCCCCAAAGAGGAAAGGGGGGAUAUCAGGACAUGAUAAAGGUGAGGGGGAGGUGCCUUCAGCCAGGCGCACUUUUUACAAGAGUUUGUUACUGGUCCCCUGAAGGUCACUACUAGUCACAAGGAGUAGACCUCACCAAUGAAGGAUUUUACUGUUUUUCUAGGUAUGAGGAGAUGCAAGAAUUGGGCACAUAAAAUCUUCCUCUAAAAAUAUCUGUCUGAAGCCCUGUUCUUCCAGUUUUCCCAGGGCACAGAGUGCCUCCCUCUUGGUCUCCACCCUGUGCUCUGCUCCAGGGACCGGGGCUGGCGGUGGCGAUGCAGGUCGGCAGCUGCCGGGGCUCAUGAUUUAAUCCAUGUAGAGGCAGAUGGCAGGUGCCAAAUUUCAAUUCACACUGUCCGGUUUUCCCAGCACCGCUUACUGAAGUCUGUCUUUUCCCAUUGUAUAUUCUCCUUUUUCAUAGAUUAGCUGACUAUAAGUAUCAGGGUUUAUUUCUGGCCUAUUUCAUUGAUCUGUGGGUCUGUUUUUGCACCAGAACUGUGCUCUUUUGAGCAGCCUGUGGUAGUAUCUGAAAUCAGGGAGGGUGAUACUUCCAGCUUUGUUCUUUAUGCUCAAGAUUGCUUUGUGGUUCUACAUAAAUCUUAAGAUUAUUUGUUCUAGCUCUAUGAAGAAUGCCCUGGGUAUUUUGAUAGGGAUUGUGUGAAAUCUGUUGAUUGUCCCCCAUUUGCUCCUGGUCUACUAGGCCCAGCACAGCUCUCAUAGUAUGAGCAGAUUGGUCUAUAUUAAGGGAGGUGUUUUUUUGGUUGCUGUUUUGUUUUUGUUUUUGUUUGGUCUUUUUUCCAUUUUCUUGGGCUGCUCCCGAGGCAUGUGGAGGUUCCCAGGCNGCUAGAGGUCGAAUCGGAGCUGUAGCUGCCAGCCUACGCCAGAGCCAUAGCAACUUGGGAUCCGAGCCGCGUCUGCGAUCCACACCACAGCUCACGGCAACGCUGGAUCCUUAACCCACUGAGCAAGGGCAGGGACCGAACCCACAACCUCAUGGUUCCUAGUCGGAUUCGUUAACCACUGUGCCACGACGGGAACUCCAAGGGGGGUGUUUUUUUUAAAUUUUUUUCGGCUGCCCCUCAGCAUAUGGAGUUCCUGGGCCAGGGGUCAGAUCCAGCUGCAGUUGUGACCUGUGCUACAGCUGCAGCAACACCGGAUUCUUUAACUCACUGUGCCAGGCUGGGGAUCGAACAUGUGCGCUGGUGAUGCAGCGCCACCACCAAUCCUGUUGUGCCACAGUGGGAACUCUGGGAGGGUAUUUUUUAGGUUAUAACUUGGCUCCUAAAUGUAUACCAAGGAAAGUCAUGGAGGUAAAGCAGGGCUGGCUGGGCUGGACCUGGUUAGAGAUGAUACAGGAAAGUGGUCUUCAGGUGGAGCCUUCAAGAGUAAUUGUCUUCACAUGUGAUUGUCGCCUUGAGUGCUGAUUGUGAAAUCUUUGACGUUCCAGGUUCAGAUUGUCUAGUGAUGGCAGCGAGGAGGCCUCAACCCACGGUAUUCAGCAACCUGGUGAGAGUUGAUGGUUCUGAGAUUUCUCGGAAGAUAUAGAUUCUUGCCUGGGUGCCCGGAAUCCUGGGGAUGAUAAGCAUAGGCUGGAGCAGCCCCCUUGGGGCCAUGCAGGACCCAAGAGGGUUGAUGCAUCCAUCAUUUCAGAGGUGAAGUGAUAGAGGUGUGUCCUGCAUAACCUGUGGCCCUUGACUUGUAGCCAUGCUUCCUGCCAUCAGGGAUUUGUGUUCUGGGCUCCGACAGGUAGCACAGUGUGUUGGAAAGAGCUUGAAGUGGGAGGUGGGAGACUUGGGUGCUACAAGUUGUUCCAUCCCUAACUUGCUGUGUCAUCUCAGGCUCUGUUUUAGGGCAGCAAUUUCUUCAUUUGUGAAGUGGAGCUGAUAUUGCUGGGGACGAAAAUGAAUGUUAGGGUAACAAAAGAUCAUAAUUAGUAUUUAGUGACUGAGUGAGGCUUUGUCAUCAUUAAUCUUAUCCCUUCUUCCCUCGUUGAAGCAUUUUUUGUUUAUGACUCAUUACAUCAGCCCCAUGAAAUCAUUCAGAUGCUAGGCAACCAUGCACCCCAGCUUCUCUGCUUGCCCUCGGUUCUUACCCUCAUGCCCAGCUCCCAUCCAGGUGUUUUGCUUGAUCUUGAGCCAAGGAAAAACCAUCUCUGGCUCCAGGGGUGGUAACAGAGGCAAUGGCUCUGCUGGAACCUUGGCUUUCAAGGAGCCAGGGUCUAUAAGGGGAAGACCACUGAAUCACCCCUGGUGCUGCCCCAGGGCCCUGUGGAAUGCAGCAAAGCCUCUGUCUGGACUAGGCUUGCCUUUGAAAAAUGCAGUGGAGCAGAGUGUGGUGGGUGAAAAGCAAGCACAAGUCUUCCUGACUAUCUAACUUUAUUUAGGCAAUAAAUGUUUGCUUAGCAAGGUUACCAGUAAUAUGAAGUCAGAACAGCCUGGGUUUGAAACUGCCCUCCCACUUCUCGCUGGGUGAUCUUGGACACCUUAUUUGCCUUAGAUUCUUUGUCUAUAAAAUGCUCUGGUCACCUUGAGGAGCUAUUGCAAUGAGAGAAUGCACCUGAAAAGCCUGAGAAAGUUUUCAGUAAAUAUUAAUGUGUUUGGCUACAAACUCCAAUAUGCCUACACAGGGCUGGUCUUGGAGGGUCGUUAAGGCUCUGAUGAAGCAUAAGCCUCUGGCGAUUGGGAGGUCUCUUGUUUAUACCUUAGGUGCUAAUUGACUUUUGCACUGGACUUUUCAAGCAUGUCUAUGUCAUGAAGAUAGAGAAAGUGUCCCUUCAGGUCAAAGAGCAGGCAUGCUUAUUGUCCAACAUGGUUCAGAUAAUGUCUCUCUCGGGAGCAAAGGGCCAGGUUGCUUACUGCCUGUUAUAAAAGAUUCAGUUUCCCUUUGCUCAGGGGUCCUCUCCCGUACUGCAGCCCACUGUUGGUGCAGCUGUUAUUUGACCCUCUUCGUGAUGCCUUGUGGGACUCUGGGUUGGAGGAGACAGCACCAGAGUGUUGUUAUUCUGGCUACUGCUAUAAGUAUAAGCUGUAUUUUCUUUUUCUGACACAGGAGUCUUUUAUUCAUGUCCACAAAACUGUGGUUUGCUGACUUGUUUAGUGUGCAAGAGGGCUAAAAUCUCUGACCCUUUAAAGUUGUUGGCACUGUCCUGGUCUAGGAUGUCCCCUGUCAUCCAGAGAGGAGAGAAGAGGCAGAAAAAGGAGGGCAACUCUUCCUCUUCCCAGAGUCUGGAGUCAUUGCCAGGGGCCUCCCUGGGAGUGCCUGUUUUCUGCUAAGGCCUGCAUGUCUGUCUGCACAGAAAGCAUUUCUGGAACAAUUGAUGAGGCGGAGAAUGAGAGACAAUGUAGGGUAAUCCAUCAGGUUUUGCCUUUUACAUAGCAAAAUAUUUCCCAGACUCUGGCUGUUUGAGUACCACCUUGAUUUUUAUUUUAGUCAUAUCUGUCUACAAGCUCCAUAAUUGCUUUCAUAAUGUUAUUUUUAAUUGACUUGCCCUUUUAUUUACUCAGAUAAUUCUUUUAGCAAGAAACUUGUUCUCACUAUGAUAAAUGGAGAAUCUAAGAUUGCUUGCUGUAAUUGGAAGACAACGUGGUAAAUAAAUACAAUGAAGACAGAAAAAGUGUUAUAAGAAUUCCCCAGUGGGCUCAUGGUUAAGGUUCUGGCAUUGUGACUCAGCUCGUUGCUGUGGCAUGGGUUUGAUCCCUGGCCUGAGAAUUUC
rnacentral:lncRNA from 1 species